GACGAACGCUGGCGGCGCGCCUAACACAUGCAAGUCGAACGGAGUUACAUUGAAAGCUUGCUGGAUAUGUAACUUAGUGGCGGACGGGUGAGUAACACGUGAGUAAUCUGCCUUCCAGAGGGGAAUAACGUUUGGAAACGACUGCUAAUACCGCAUAAGCCCACGACCUGGCAUCGGGUUGAGGGAAAAGGAGCAAUCCGCUUUGAGAUGGCCUCGCGUCCGAUUAGCUAGUUGGUGAGGUAACGGCCCACCAAGGCGACGAUCGGUAGCCGGACUGAGAGGUUGAACGGCCACAUUGGGACUGAGACACGGCCCAG
rnacentral:rRNA from 1 species